AAAUUGAAGAGUUUGAUCAUGAAAGUAAGAUUGAACGCUGGCGGCAGGCCUAACACAUGCAAGUCGAACGGUAACAGGAAGCAGCUUGCUGCUUUGCUGACAGUGGCAGACGGGUGGUAAUAAUGUCUGAAACUGCCUGAUGGAGGGAUAACUACUGGAAACGGUGGCUAAUACCGCAUAACGUCGCAAGACCAAAAGAGGACCUUCGGGCCUCUUGCCAUCAGAUGUGCCCAGAUGGGAUUAGCUUGUUGAGUCGAAGACAACGGCUCGCAAGGCGACGAUCUAGCUGGUCUGAGAGGAUGACCAACCACUGGAACUGAGACACGGUCAGACUCCUGAGGAGGCAGCAGUGGGGAAUAUUGCACAAUAUUGGGCGCAAGCCUGAUGCAGCCAUGCCGCGUGUAUGAAGAAGGCGCUGGGUUUAAUAUACUUUCAGCGGGGAGGAAGGUGUUGUGGUUGUAACCGCAGCAAUUGACGUUACCCGCAGAAAAACACCAGCUAACUCGAUUGCCAGCAGCCGCGGUAAUACGGAGGUGCAAGCGUUAAUCGGAAUUACUGGGCGUAAAGCGCGCGCAGGCGGUCUGUCAAGUCGGAUGUAUGUGAAAUCCCCGAAGCUCCAGCACGGGAACUGCAUUCGAAACGCGGAAGCAUUCUUGUAGAGGGGGUAGAAUUCGAGGGUGUAGCGGUGAAAUGCGUGAGAUCUGGAGGAAUACCUGCCGGUGGCGAAGGCGGCCUACGGACAAGACUGACGCUCGAGUGCGAAAGCGUGGGAGCAAACGGGAUUAGAUACCACGGUAGUCCACGCCGUAAACGAUGUCUACUUGGAGGUUGUGCCCGCUUGAGGGCGUGGCUUCCGGAGCUAACGCGUUAAGUAGACCGCACAGGGGAGGUACGGCCGCAGGUUGAAACUCAAAUGAAUUGACAGGGGCCGCACAGAAGCGGUGGAGCAUCAAUGGUUUAAUUCGAUGCAACACGAAGAACCUUACACGGUCUUGACAUCACAGAAGAAUCCGAGAUGGAUUUGUGCCUUCGGGAACUGUGAGACAGGUGCUGCAUGGCUGUCGUCAGCUCGUGUUGUGAAAUGUUGGGUUAAGUCACAACAGGCGCAACCCUUAUCGCUGUUGCCGCUUGGUUGGGCCGGGAACUCAAAGGAGACUGCCAGUGAUAAACUGGAGGAAGGUGGGGAUGACGUCAAGUCAUCAUGGCCCUUACGACCCGGGGGAGGCUACACGUGCCACAAUGGCGCAUACAAGAAGAAGCGACCUCGCGUGAGGCAAGCGGACCUCAUAAAAGUGCGUCGUAGUCAGUUGAGUCUGCAACUCGACUCCAUGAAGUCGGAAUCGCUAGUAAUCGUGGAUCAGAAUGCCACGGUGAAUACGUUCAGGCCUUGUACACACCGCCCGUCACACCAUGGAGUGGGUUGCAAAAGAAGUAGGUAGCAACAGCCGGGAGGCGCUUACCACUUUGUGAUUCAUGACUGGGGUGAAGUCGUAACAAGGUAACCGUAGGGGAACCUGCGGUUGGAUCACCUCCUUACCUGAAAGAAGC
rnacentral:rRNA from 1 species